AAAGUCGUAACAAGGUUUCCGUAGGUGAACCUGCGGAAGGAUCAUUACCGAGUUAGGGUUCGUCCAACGAGCCCGACCUCCCAACCCUUUGUCUAUCCUACCUUGUCGUUGCUUCGGCGGACCGGCCGUGACCGACUGGUCGUGGCCGCCGGGGGUCCACCCCCUGGAGAGCGUCCGCCGACGGCCCAACCACAAACUCUUGUACCAAACCAUGUCGUCUGAAUUACUUGAUUGAAAUCAAAAAACAAAACUUUCAACAACGGAUCUCUUGGUUCUG
rnacentral:misc_RNA from 1 species